UAACCAAUCCGUUUUUCCCGUUCACCAGCGGACGGGUAAUUCAAAAACCCCUAGUUUUGCGGCAGACGGUAUUUCCUUUGCUUCCCUAAUUUUCGCUGCCCGUAGAAAUACCGCCUGCCAUGCAGGCUACCUAUAUUGCUGAUCUACCGAUUUGCCCUUUGGAAAAUUGAAGAAACAGAUUUCACUUGUGUGUUAGCUGUCACUAUUACAACCAUAGACGGCAAUACAUGUUUUGCAGUGCACCUUACGUUUUACAUGAACAAUUUAGAUCUUUUCGUUAUUCAAGCUGUACUCAGAGCUGACUAUAUAUAAUAUAGGCCUACUCUGGGGCGGUAAAUCGCCUUAAAUCGCUGCGAUAUAAUGCGAUUUUAGGCGAUUUAAGGAAAAACUGGGACUUUCAAGCACUGCGAUUUAAUGCGAUUUUAGGCG